AUUGAACGCUGGCGGCAGGCUUAACACAUGCAAGUCGAGCGGAGAUGAGGUGCUUGCACCUUAUCUUAGCGGCGGACGGGUGAGUAAUGCUUAGGAAUCUGCCUAUUAGUGGGGGACAACAUUCCGAAAGGAAUGCUAAUACCGCAUACGUCCUACGGGAGAAAGCAGGGGAUCUUCGGACCUUGCGCUAAUAGAUGAGCCUAUGUCGGAUUAGCUAGUUGGGGGGGUAAAGGCCUACCAAGGCGAAGAUCUGUAGCGGGUCUGAGAGGAUGAUCCGCGACACUGGGACUGAGACACGGCCCAGACUCCUACGGGAGGCAGCAGUGGGGAAUAUUGGACAAUGGGGGGAACCCUGAUCCAGCCAUGCCGCGUGUGUGAAGAAGGCCUUAUGGUUGUAAAGCACUUUAAGCGAGGAGGAGGCUACUGAGACUAAUACUCUUGGAUAGUGGACGUUACUCGCAGAAUAAGCACCGGCUAACUCUGUGCCAGCCGCCGCAGUAAGAC
rnacentral:rRNA from 1 species